rnacentral:lncRNA from 1 species
GGACAAGCACUAACCCAACCAUUUUGCGUCGCAACUUCUUAGUCUUUCGGUCAAUGAUUGCCUCUGGUUCUUCAAUCAACCUUUUGUUCUCAUCGAUUCUCAACUCCGCAAGUGGAAUCAUGUCGGGAACUUCUCUCGAGAACUUCCUCAAAUAACACACAUGGAAAGUGUUAUGAAUUCCAUUCAGUUCUUCUGGUAGUUCGAACUUGUAAACUUGGUUCCAAAUCCUCUGAAGAACUUUAAACGGUCCAAUAAACCUUGGACUUAAUUUUUCCCCUUUUUCCAAAUCUUAUAAGUCCCUUCCACGGCGAGACUUUAAGCAAAACCGAAUCUCCAACCUCAAAAGUCAUCGGUCUUCGCUUCUUGUCAGCAUAACUCUUUUGACGAUCUUGAGCUGCUAACAUUCUUUCCCUAAUUAUUUUCAACUUUUCAGCAGUUUGAUGAACCAUCUCCGGUCCCAUAAACUGCUUUUCCCCAGCCUCAAGCCAACAAGACGGCGUACGACACUUCUGUCCAUACAAAGCUUGAUAAGGUGCCAUCUUAAUGCUCGAGUGAAAACUAUUAUUAUAGGAAAAUUCUACCAACGGUAAAUGUUCAUCCCAAUUACCUAGGAAUUCCAAGGUACAUGCUCUCAGCAUAUCUUCAAGUGUUUGUAUUGUUCUUUCACUCUGACCAUCAGUCUGCGGAUGGUAAGCUGUGCUUAAACAUAACUUGGUACCCAUUUCCUCUUGUAGACUUUUCCAAAACCUUGAGGUGAAACGGCUAUCACGAUCCGAUACAAUCGUUAACGGAACACCGUGAAGCCUCACAAUUUCCUUCACGUAAGAAUUCGCAAGCUUUUCCAUAGACCAUUUCUCCUUGGCUGCUAUGAAAUGCGCACUCUUAGUGAAUCGAUCAACGACCACCCAAAUCAUGUCGUGACCAUUCUUUGUUCUGGGCAGUUUAGUGACAAAAUCCAUAGCAAUGUCUUCCCACUUACCCAUAGGCACAGGCAAUGGUUCUAAACUCCCGUACGGUUUCUGAUGUUGUGUCUUGACUCUCGCACAAGUCACACACUCGGCCACAUACUUUGCAACAUCAAGCUUCAUCGUCGGCCACCAAUAGUAGGGUUUUAGGUCGCUAUAUAUUUUAAUACUACAGGGAUGAAUUGAGUCUGUGAGCUUCUUCCAUCAGAAGAUCUUGACUCCUCCUGUUUUAGGAAUCCAAAUCUGAUCUUGCAACACCAUCAGUCCAUGACUGUUUAUACCGAACAUCAACAUUUUGCCCAUACGUUCUUCCUUACGGUCAUUCUACUCAGAAGCUUCCUCUUGAGCUUUCUUUAUACUUUCCACUACGGUCGAGACAACAUCAAUUCUCAACGCUCUUGGCCUCUUCCUUUCAAGAUUGACUUUCCGACUGAGAGCAUCAGGAACAACAUUUGCUUUACCAGGGUGGUAAAGUAUCUCACAGUCGUAGUCGUUGAGUAACUCUAGCCAGCAUCGUUGCCUCUUAUUCAAUUCUUUCUGACUAAAGACAUAUUGGAGACUCUUAUGAUCAGUGAAAAGUUUGCACUUCGUGCCAUAGAGGUAAUGCCUCCAUAUCUUUAAAGGGAAAACUACCGCCGCCAACUCCAAGUCAUGAGUCAGGUAGUUCUUUUCAUACUCUUUCAACUGUCAAGACGCAUAUGCGAUCACCUUUUCCCUUUGGGUCAAAACACAACCCAACCUAACACCUGAUGCAUCGCUAUAAACAACGAAGUAUUCAACGCCAUCGAGUAGAGAAAGUAUCGGUGCCUCGCAUAGCUUCUUCUUUAGCUUCUCGAAUGCUUCUUUAUGUUUAUCACUCCAAGAAUAAGUAGCUCCUUUGUGGGUCAAAGUUUUUAAUGGAGUAGCGAUCGAAGAAAAGCCUUGGAUAAACCUUCGGUAAUAUCCGGCUAAUCCUAAAAAGCUUCGGAUCUCCGUGGGACUUUUCGGUUGUUCCCACUUCAUCACAGCUUCAAUUUUUGCUGGAUCAACCAUUAUCCCUUUUUGGUUGACCACGUGUCCCAAGAAUUGGACUUCUCGAAUCCAAAAAUCACAUUUGGAGAACUUAGCAUACAGCUUCUCCUUCUUCAAUACUUCUAACACUUCUCGCAAGUGUCUGCCACGAUCCUCUUGGCUUUUCGAAUAAAUCAGAAUGUCAUCUAUGAAAACUAUCACAAAUUUAUCAAGGAACGGAUUACAAACCAUGUUCAUUAAAUCCAUGAAUGAUGUUUGAGCAUUGGUUAGUCCAAACAACAUAAUCAAAAACUCGUAGUGCCAUAUCGUGUUCUGAAUGCAGUCUUCUCUAUAUCCUGCUCUUUACUUCCAGCUGAUGAUAUCCUCACCUAAGAUCAAUCUUCGAGAAAUAGCUUGAAUUUGUAGUUGAUCGAACAGGUCAUCAAUCCUCGGCAACGGAUAUCUAUUCUUUAUUGUUCCCUUGUUCAGCUCUGUGUAAUCGAUGCACGUUCUCACACUUCCAUCUUUCUUCUUCACGAAUAACACCGGAGCUCCCCAGGGUGAUGAACUAGGUCUAAUGAAACCUUUUUCCAAUAACUCCUGAAGUUGCAUCAUCAGCUCCUUCAUCUCCGUCGGUGCUAAUCGGUAAGGUGCCUUUGCCAUUGGUGUCGUCCCUAGUAACAAGUCUAUUCUAAACUCCACUUGUCUAUCAGGCGGUAAUCCGGGAAGAUCUUCAGGAAAUACUUCCGGAUAAUCACACACGAAAGGAAUGCUCUGCAUCUCCUUUUUCUCUUUCUUAGCAUUGAUCACGAAUGCCAAAUAUGAUGUACAUCCUUUGGUCAAACACUUUCUGGAUUUCAUUAGCAAAAUGAUCCCAGAAUUUACACUGCGUUUGUCCCCAUACACCAUAAACGACUCUUUCCCUGGCGGGUUUACUUUGACUAUCUUCUUUCUGCAUAAUAUCUCGGCGUCAUUGGCGUUAAGCCAAUCCAUUCCAAGCACGAUGUCAAAACGGUUAAGUUCGAUAGGCUAUAAUUCCUCGUGAAACUUAUUCCCAUUCAAGUCAAUUAAGAUGUUUUUCAUAUGAUGGCUAAGAGGUACAAAUUUGCCACUAGCAACUUUGACUAAUAAAGCAUUAUCUAGUCUAUCGACAGGCAAAGCUAGUUUUCUACCAAAUUCAUGCGAAAUAAAGGAGUAGUUGGCUCCAGAAUCAAAUAAAAUUUGGGCAGGCAAUUCGUUAACGAGAAAGGUACCUGAAGCGACAUCAGCUUCAUCUUUAGCAUCUUCCAGUGUCAUCUGGAAGGCUCUCGCCUUCGGCUUUGGCGGAAUGUUGGGUCUUGCUGCCUCCUUCUUUUUCAGGCAGUCCCUANUCCCCCCUCACCACAACCAUAGCAAACUUUCUUGGUGAGAGUGCAUUUGUUUGCAAAAUGCCCUGGCUUUCCACAUUUGAAGCAUGUGGCCACUACGUCACAUUUUCCGUCAUGCUUCUUCUUAUAUUUGUCGCACCAUUUCGCUUCGCCUCCUCCUCCUCUUGAACUAGACUUCAAGAACUUGUUUUUCUUGUUGGACCCUAAAGGUCCAUCGAACUUUCUCUUUUCACCAACCUCUAUCCUUUCCAGAACCUUUUGCUUCUAUUGAGCCCCCACAUUCUUAGCUGCUCAAACAGCUAUUUUCAGAGUGGUUGCCAUCUUGACUGUCUGGCCAAAGUCGGCAGCCAUUCCAUUGGCGAAACUCUCAAUCUUGGAGAGUUCCGUUGGCACUAGGUACGGAAAUAACUUCAUUUUCUCAGUGAAUGCAGUAGCAUAGUUAUCUAUGCACAUCCUCCCCUUCUUCAAGUUUUGGAACUCAUUGUUCAGAUCAAUUAGAUCUAUCUCUGAAUAGUACUGCACCCUUAGUUGUUCCAAGAACUCUUCCCAUGACAUUUUCAGGGCUUCUCCUCGUGGCAUAGUAUCUGCCAACAACAUCCACCAGCUCAAGACUUCAGUUCAAUUGUCUAACUGCAAAGACAGUCUUCUGUUUGUUGAUACAGUCACAACUUUCAAAUACCAUAUCCAUUUCUGAGAUCCAAUCCAUAAUCUCAACAGGCUUUGGGCUCCCAGAAAGACUUGGCGGCUUGGCGCCCAAGAAAUUCUUGUACAUUCGCCCAUCUUUGUUGUCUCCCCUUUCUGGGUCGUUCCUUCGUUCUCCUUGAGUCCCAACUUGACUUACGGCACGACCAUUGUUUCCAUCCUCUGAUUUCUCGGGAAUCAGUUCGGGUUCCACAAUGGGUAUGAUAGGUUCGUCCCUAUUUCCAUGCAACAUCUGUCGCAAUUCUUCCCUUUGCUCGGCUAACAUAGCCUGAAUCAUGGCCUACACUCCAACCAUGGUGAUGGGUUCUAGUGCAGCAGCUACAAUAGGUGCUUGCUCAAUCACAAGCGGUUAAGGCUGUUGAUUUCUGUUUUCAUUUGCAUUUCAAACUCUGCUUCUAGUUCUUGCCAUUCUUGAUCUAUACACCGAAUAAGGUGCCAUCUUAAUGCUCGAGUGGAAACUAUUACUUUAGGAAAAUUCUACCAAAGGUAAAUGUUCAUCCCAAUUACCUUGGAAUUCCAAGGUACAUGCUCUCAGCAUAUCGUCAAGUGUU